AAUGAACGUUGGCGGCGUGGAUUAGGCAUGCAAGUCGUGCGAGAAUCGUAGCAAUACGAGGACAGCGGCGAAAGGGAGAGGAACACGUGGAUACCUACACUCGGGAUCGGGAUAGCUGCGGGAAACUGCAGGUAAUACCGAAUAACAUCUUCGGAUCAAAGGUGUGAUUCCGCCCGGGGACGGGUCCGCGUCCUCUUAGCUAGUUGGUGGGGUAACGGCCUACCAAGGCAAAGAUGGGUACGGGGUGUGAGAGCAUGCCCCCGCUCACUGGGACUGAGAUACUGCCCAGACACCUACGGGUGGCUGCAGUCGAGAAUCUUCGGCAAUGGGCGCAAGCCUGACCGAGCGACGCCGCGUACGGGAUGAAGGCCUUCGGGUUGUAAACCGUUGUCAGUGGGGAGGAAAUGUCGGUGGGUUCUCCCAUCGAUUUGACCUAUCCGCAGAGGAAGGACGGGCUAAGUUCGUGCCAGCAGCCGCCGUAAAAC
rnacentral:rRNA from 1 species